rnacentral:tRNA from 1 species
GACCUCGUGGCUGAGUGGUUCAAGCAGCGGUCUGCAAAACCGCGUACGCCGGUUCGAUUCCGGUCGAGGUCU